GUAAAGACGUGAUGUUGACUGCUGUAAACAGACGUGUAUUAAGAUUUACGAUUUAAACAGCCUUGUACAUUGCUCCUGAGGUUGGGUUUGACUAUUCUGAGGCUAUAUGACUUGCAUAAGGAGAUUGUGGUGUGGGUUCUUGCUUGAAGACUCAGGGUAAAUAAAAAAAUAUUUUUAUACAUUUAAAGUGAUGUCAGUUAGCACUUUGCAAUUAAUUUUUGUGUUCCCUCAAGGUCUCCUUAAGAAGGAAAAAGACCCAGAAAUGUAUAGAGCUUAUCUUGCGCAUCUGUAAGUUUAAUGCAAAUAUAUCAAGUUAACA